rnacentral:rRNA from 1 species
AUUGCACGCUGGCGGCAGGCCUAACACAUGCAAGUCGAGCGCGCGGCGGACGGGUGAGUAAUGUCUGGGAAACUGCCCGAUGGAGGUGGAUAACUACUGGAAACGGUAGCUAAUACCGCAUACUAUCAGAUGUGCCCAGAUGGGCUUAGCUAGUAGGUGGGGUAACGGCUCACCUAGGCGACGAUCCCUAGCUGGGCUGAGAGGAUGACACGCCACCCUGGGACUGAUACACGGUCCAGACCCCUACGGGAGGAAGCAGUGGGGAAUAUUGAACAAUGGGCGCAAGCCUGAUGCAGCCAUGCCGCGUGUGUGAAGAAGGCCUUCGGGUUGUAAAGCACUUUCAGCGGGGAGGCGUUACCCGCAGAAGAAGCACCGGCUAACUCCGUGCCAGCAGCCGCGGUAAUAC